CUUCUGAUGCCGCCAUUUUGACGCUAUCAUACCUCUGUGCUAUUACUGAAUUUCUGCUGACAUUUGCCUCACGAUCUGUUCAUCACCAGUUAUUGUCACUAUGAACUCCUACACCCAAGGUUGAAGAUAGGCAGCCCUCUUCUCCCAGAGAGUUAUAUCGCAGAUCAGCCAUCGUCAAAGCGAACCUCUCCAGUUCAUGUAUCGUGCCUGUCGUGAACAUGUAUCACUGAAAUGCAAUAAAAUAUGUGGAAACG